CCCCGUUUUGACUCGGCGUUGACGCAAGUGAGAGGUUGGCUUUCAUUCAUCUGGAGCAACAACAUGGCGGCAACCUGAUAGCAGCUGCAUAAAAAAUAGCAAACAUCACAUAUUUGUGCAAACAGACACAAAUAAAAAAAAAUACAGAGGAAGACUACAUAACUAACAGGACAUCCAUCGACUUCGAUUCAGUCUGAAUGUCAAGGUUCCCUGGAACAUAAUCCUGAGUUGCCAGUUGAGAAAGGCUAGUGGACUCACUAGAAUAGCUGGCAAGAAAUAUAGGAUUCCGAGCAGUAAUAACGAUACUAAAGACUGAAAGGAUUCAUUUUGGUUUGAGUAUUUAGCUAUUGCAUCUGGACUUAGAUCAAGGCAAACCGAUGGUGCCCUCUCUGAAGUAGAGACCAUGGAUCGCUACCAGGACCUAUGGCCGAAGUACAGGGCUUGGGUUUGAAACGGGACCAUUUACCUCUCCCCCUGCCUGUCACCAUCCCAUAUCAGAUCACAGAUGGAGGUGACAUGGAGCUAAGCAGUGAAAUGUAAUCUCGGCCAGAGAUCCCGCUCUCUGCUCAGUAGCACCUGUCACAGCCUGAACUCUCCACAAAUAUUUUCAUCCUGGACCUUGAACUCAUUGAGUCUUAGCUAACUGCCCUACACCUCUCUGGUAACUGUUACAGCUAGCCUACAGUUUCCCACCAACCAAAACGAACCCCUUCAUGUUUACAGACCUACUCUAUCCCAACGUCAACAGAUUCUCUCAAUGCCCAGACCUGGCUACACCUCCUCCCAUGUCCCUUAAUUUUUUCUAAUUGAACUGUAUCCCUGAGCCACCACUACACACUGCCAGGCCAAAGGCUUGGUGCAGUUGCAUUGGACUGUCUAGAGCACACUGCACUGACUAAGCUCUAACUAAGUUGAUUUAAACAUGAGUGACGGGGAGCUGCAGCACCUGGACUAUCUGACUGAGAAUGAGCUGAUGGGCAUGGACACGUUCAUUCACCGCAUCGACUCAACCGAGGUGAUCUACCAGCCACGCAGGAAGAGGGCCAAGCUGAUUGGGAAGUACCUGAUGGGAGACCUGCUGGGGGAGGGCUCCUACGGAAAGGUGAAGGAGAUGCUGGACUCUGACACGCUGUGUCGCAGGGCUGUCAAGAUCCUCAAGAAGAAGAAGCUGAGGCGGAUCCCCAACGGAGAGGCUAAUGUGAAGAAGGAGAUCCAGCUGCUACGGAGACUCCAGCACAAAAAUGUGAUCCAUUUGGUGGAUGUGUUGUACAAUGAAGAGAAGCAGAAAAUGUAUAUGGUGAUGGAGUACUGCGUAUGUGGGAUGCAAGAAAUGCUGGACAGCGUCCCAGAGAAAAGAUUUCCAGUAUUUCAAGCUCACGGGUACUUUUUACAGCUGUUAGAUGGCCUUGAAUAUUUGCACAGCCAGGGAAUCGUUCACAAGGACAUUAAACCAGGAAAUCUGCUUCUGACUACCGACGGGGCACUCAAGAUCUCCGACCUGGGCGUGGCAGAGGCUUUGCACCCGUUUGCAGAGGAUGACACGUGUCGUACGAGUCAGGGCUCGCCGGCGUUCCAGCCCCCCGAGAUCGCCAAUGGCCUGGACACCUUUUCAGGGUUCAAAGUGGACAUCUGGUCCGCAGGCAUCACACUAUACAACAUUACGACGAGUCUUUAUCCGUUUGAAGGGGACAACAUCUAUAAGCUAUUUGAGAACAUUGGGAAGGGAGACUACAGUGUUCCAGAAGAGUGCGGGCCUGCCCUGUCAGACCUACUGCAAGCUCCUUUGUCUUCUCCAGGAAUGCUUGAAUAUGAUCCCGUCAAGAGGUUUUCAAUACAGCACAUAAGGCAACACAACUGGGUGCGUAAAAAACACCCGCCAACAGAACCACCGGUGCCGAUCCCUGCCAGCGCGGAGAGCCGGGACGUGUGGCGCAGCAUGACGGUGGUGCCCUACCUGGAGGACCUGCAUGGGUACACGGAGGAGGAGGACGACGAGCUCUACGACCAGGAGGACACAAUCAUCUACACUCAGGACUUCACUGUGUCAGGCCAGGUGCCAGAGGAGGACUUAGACGAGGGUGAGGUGGAUCGGAACCGGGCCCAGGCCAAGCCUGUUUGUGUGAAUGGAACAGAGAGCAAGGCCAAGCCAGAGUGCAGGUCCUCGUCCUCAUCCAACCCCUCCCGCAAAGGAGUAUCCACAGCCAGCAAGAUACGCAAGCUCUCCAACUGCAAACAGCAAUGACUGCACCUCAACAACCCACCUGGUGAGAAGGGUAUGUCAUUCUGGAUGUGGUUCAUCUUUUCCCGUCCUUCUGUUUUUGGAGUGCUUGGCCAUUGCCAAGAGAAGCCUGCUGAUGUGGUGUCCCACGUUUCCUCCUGAACCAUUCGGCUACAAACUCUUCUUCAAGGAUGCCAUGCGCUUGACAGAGAGCGGGAAAGGGGGAGAAGGAGAGAAAUGGAGACUGCUCAGACUACCCUCGAGGGUCUUGGUGUGAAGUGCUUGUGUUUCCCUUCACUCCCUCUGUUGUCUGGUUGUCCCAAAGGAGGCGUGGCCUGGCCGUGUGAGACCCACCUUUUCUGAGUCCUGCCCCAGUUUGUUUUAGUUUAUAGACCAUCUUUUAUUUUACAGAACUUAACUGCAGUUUUUAAAGAUGCACAUUGUGAUGUGUAAAAAGAAUGCCGUUGAUAAAGAACACAUAUAUUUAAACUAUGAUGACGAUGAUGGUAGUGCUACCCAUGUAAAACUGCAUGCUGUACGGAGCUUUGAGUAAGGAAAACUACUUGGUUAAGGACAGACAAAUGGACUAAAACCUUGACAGCCACCGCUGAUGGUGAGUUGGGGGGGAUGUUGUGUUUUGUUUCCAUUAGUUUUUGUUUUGAUUUUUUUCCAAUAAAUAUUUUGUAAUUAUUUAUGUAAAACAUGUCCCAACCAAACCCUAUUUGUUUUCUGGCUCCCAUUUUUUUCUUUUCUGACGGUGCACGGUCAUUAUACUGCAGGGUUUUAUUUAUAGAUAUGUAUAUAUAUGAAUAAACCUUGUGGUUUUAUUUCACACCAACACGAUGUUAGUGGGAACACUACAUUUCCAUGGAGGGGGAAGGGAGAUCGAGGGCGAUUUGAAACUUUAAAACUGAAGAGGGGAUCAGAAAAUGUCAAAUGGGAUUCUUCAGACCACGGAAAAACUGGAGUAAUAUGUUGUCGGGCAUCUGUGUGUUAAAAGAUGCACUGCUAGCCUUUUUUUCCUUGUUCCCUGAUCACAUCCCUGGAAACUUCUCUUUCACCUCCAUCUUUCCAUUUCUCCCUUGCUCUCUGGUCUGACUCACCUGCACUUUCCUCUCCUGUCUUUCUCCCUCUUUUUCCCUCUCUCUUCUGACUUACCUGCUAUCUCCUUUGCCCUCCAUCCCCCUCUCUCCAUCCCUCAAACUCAUCUGCUCUCUCUCUUUUGCGCCCCCUCUCCUCCCUCCCUGUGCUCACCUGCUCUGUAAUCUAUUCUUAGUGCUGGCCUGAUGGGGGCAGCUAAUUGCGUAAGAUGGAGAGAGAUAAACACUGCCUACGUCAGCCCAGCACUGAGAGAAUCUCUGGCAGAGCCCAGACCAGGCAAAACUCAGUGGGGAAACCUCUGCAAUAUACCUUUUGAUUAAUAAAGAAUUCCUGCUUUUCUGA